rnacentral:rRNA from 1 species
UCUCACGAUCCCUUCGGGGUGACGAGUUAUUGACUGAGUGGCGGACGGGUGAGUAACGCGUGGGUAACCUACCUUGUACAGGGGGACAACAGUUGGAAACGACUGCUAAUACCGCAUAAGCGCACAGCAUCGCAUGAUGCAGUGUGAAAAGUUUUUUCGGUACAAGAUGGACCCGCGUCUGAUUAGCUAGUUGGUGAGGUAACGGCCCACCAAGGCGACGAUCAGUAGCCGACCUGAGAGGGUGACCGGCCACAUUGGGACUGAGACACGGCCCAAACUCCUACGGGAGGCAGCAGUGGGGAAUAUUGCACAAUGGGCGCAAGCCUGAUGCAGCGACGCCGCGUGAGCGAAGAAGUAUUUCGGUAUGUAAAGCUCUAUCAGCAGGGAAGAUAAUGACGGUACCUGACUAAGAAGCACCGGCUAAAUACGUGCCAGCAGCCGCGGUAAUACGUAUGGUGCAAGCGUUAUCCGGAUUUACUGGGUGUAAAGGGAGCGUAGGCGGUUUUACAAGUCUGAUGUGAAAGCCCGGGGCUCAACUCCGGUAUUGCAUUGGAAACUGUAGAACUAGAGUGUCGGAGGGGUAAGUGGAAUUCCUAGUGUAGCGGUGAAAUGCGUAGAUAUUAGGAGGAACACCAGUGGCGAAGGCGGCUUACUGGACGAUUACUGACGCUGAGGCUCGAAAGCGUGGGGAGCAAACAGGAUUAGAUACCCUGGUAGUCCACGCCGUAAACGAUG